UACAGAGGGGGCGAGCGUUAUUCGGAAUUAUUGGGCGUAAAGGGCGCGUAGGCGGCCUUUCAAGUGACGGGUGAAAUCCCUCGGCUUAACCGAGGAACUGCCUGUCAGACUGGAAGGCUUGAGACCGGGAGAGGUGAGUGGAAUUCCCAGUGUAGCGGUGAAAUGCGUAGAUAUUGGGAGGAACACCAGUGGCGAAGGCGGCUCACUGGACCGGCAUUGACGCUGAGGCGCGAAAGCUAGGGGAGCAAACGGG
rnacentral:rRNA from 1 species